CUACAGCAAAUCAUCAGAGCGUCUGAGUCCAUCUGCUUUUAAGAAUCCUUAUUGUUCCUCCGGGAACAAUAAACAGCAUGCUACCAAGAACCCAUGAAACUGGAUUGUAGUUUUCAUGUAUUUCUGUUCCCAAACAGACAAGUAACCAAAAUGUUUGUGUGCAGUAGAAGUGUCGCUUAAGAGUUUGCCUGGAGGUGUUGGGUAUCUCUGGGCUUCCUGUGGCUGGCAGGGAAUGGGGGUCCUAACAUAACCUUGUACCUAUCAGAGAGAGCUCCUCCCCACAUCCCAGGGUUUGGCAUUAGUAACUUCCCUUCUUGGCCCUAUUAGGAUGGCAAGAAACUCCCUCUGACCUCUGGAGGUCCAAAACACUGCUCCUGGGAGAGGUCCUCCCUGCUCCAUUUGGCUUUGCCAUCUCCAGACAACUGCCCCGUCUUAGCCUCACUCGGAUGACUAUGAGCUAACAUGAGGUGAAGGUUUAUUUCACCAAGGGGGUUCUCAUCACAAACUCAGAAACAGAGUCAGAACCACCAAAAUGUGAAUACAAUCCAAGUCAAGGCUUAACUCCCAGGCUGCCUAGUGCUGCUCACCUGUGGCUUCUGGAACCCAGCCCAGCCCCUCAGAUUGACAGCAGGUGGGUUCAGGGGGCUCCUUUCUCCCUACCCCCUGCUAGCUACUGAAUGAAUGAAAUGAACUACAUGAUCCAAGGGACUGACAGAUGCUGAGAUGAUGUUCUUGUUUUUUUAAUACCGCACACUAUUAACCUCAGUGACUGAUGGACAUCGGGAAUAGAUGGGACUGCUGCUGAAGGUCAACACCCUCAGGGCCUCAAUUAAGGCGUCUGAAGUCACAACACGUUUUUCCAGGCAAGCAAAAUGAGAGACAAGUAGUUCCCAGGUGAGGAUCCAAACAAAUCAAAUACACCUUAUCAGCCACACUGUAGCUCUUCUUUAUGCAUCACAAGGAAGCAGAAAUAGCUCAAACGCAUGAAGUAGUUUCCAACUAUCUGUAGUUACCUGGGGGUCUUUGACGUGGUUCAGUCAUGAAUGCCAAGAAGUUGUGUUUGUAAUGUUGCCAGCCACUAACAUGGGAGCAACUCUGCAGGCACAAAUUGAAAUGUGACCUAAUCAGAGAGCUGCAGGAGAAGCAAGAUGAUUAAAAAGGAGGCACAUUGGGUCUGAUGGAGAUCAAUGCUGACAGGAAAGAAAAAAGAGAUUGGUAGUCUCUUAAAGCUUGCUUAAAAUCAGUCCUGUCCAGUUGGGAAUGCUGGCAUGAAUGCAGCAGUGAGUUCUGAAAUGAGAUGAACAGUUUAUGUCAAAAUAAUGCAACAAAUUCCAGCCCCCAGUAAAUGUACAUACCCAAGUUCUGUGCGGUGCCUGAGGCCCUGAUCCUGCAGACAAUUACAUGCAUGAGAAAGCCCAGUGAAUGCAGGUCUAUUCAUGCAUGCACGAACACUCACAGGAUUGGGGUUUUAUUGUGCAUCCCCUGCAAUCUACUGGAUGGGAUAGACAUCAGCCUGAACUGUGGCCCAUGUUUUCUCAGGGAGAGUUAGAAAACAAAACAAAACACAUAACAAACCUGAGGCACAUUUCACAUCUGAGUCACUGAAAGUUUGUACAUGAAACACAUGUAUACAAAACUGGACAAGUUUAUUUUCCACAAGGCAAGCUCGGGUUUUGUAUUUUUUUUUUUUUUAACUUAUAAGGAAAGGGAGGAAAUUCCUCCUCCUCCCUUCCCUGCCCAUACAUUUCCCUUGUUCGUGAGUCUUUAGAAGGCUAUGAAACUGCACCAGGAACAAACAAGGACUUUCUUUAAUGAAUAAAUAUUUAUGACAGCCAACUUGGAUACCUAAGGCUGAGGCUGAUUUCUCUGAAACAUGCACCAGAAACUCUCAGGGCUUGAUCCUGCCCGGACUGAAACAUGCUUCCUGGAGCAGCAGCUGCUCCUUAUAACACAUGUCUGAAACCUUGAGCAGGACCACAGAGCACUUUGAUGGAACUGGGUUGGCCAGUUUGUGCUGGCUGCCUCUGUUUUCUGUGCACUCAGAUGUUUUGGCCGUGGCUCGGAAGCCCAGCCCUGCUGCCACAUGAAAGCUCACGGAGCCAGGAAGGAUCUCAUCACAUUGAGAAACUGAAUUCGUAGCAGAGCUGGAAAAGCCUCUUGGUUCUGACUCAAAAUGUUUCUAGAAUGGGGUUUCAGGGCUUACGCUGGAAGCGGUUUGCUGCAGUCAAGCUGUGCAAGAUAAUAACUUCCUCUUACAAAAGCUGUACUAUCCUACAUGCAUUUCAAAUUACAUUUUAUGGACAAACAUUGAAGUACAGUAUUUGGCAGUGCAUGCAAUUGCAUAUAUUUAUAGUAAUCAAAUUCUAAGGUAUGAGAGCCAAGAAGUAAGUUGGUUGCCAUUUUCUUAAUCAUGUAUUUAGUUGACAAUGUAAUUAGUUCUGCUAAAGCUUAAUGAAGUUUGCAUUGUGAUAUUGUGAUGUUUAUGAAGUAAAUUAUGUGGUAUGCUUAAGCAUGCUAUAAAAACAGUUAUAAAAAUACAAACUGUUCCUUUAACUUGCCACAAUAAGUAAAAUCUGAAAUCACUAGAAAGGAUAAACAUCUAUUGAUAUACAGAUUGGAGAAGGAAUCUGGACAUCUCCAAAUAAAAAAGACAGAUUACUUUAUUUUUAUUAAGUAGGACCAAGAAAUCGUAUCUUAUCUCUUUUACCAAUACUGCCACAGGCUUUAUGCAAUUCAUUGACCCUUUUGGAGCUUCAUCUCCCACAUACACAAUACAUCACAAAAGGACUGUGAGAUGGAGUAGUGCUUGUAAGAAAUGCUGAGACCUUCUUUUGGAAGGUGCCAGAAAAGGCCUUGUUUAUGUGUUUGGUUCAUUUUGGUUGGGAAUUUAAGGUGACAUAGCCAUUUCUGGCAAUCCUCCUGUGGGUGCUCUUCCUCUGGAAUAAAACUGCCUUGCCAGAAAUGGUCUGGAUCCACUCCACUAACUUGUGUUUGCUUCUCUGGCAUAUACUAAAGUGAAGAAACAUGGGAUAUCCAUAAUCCUCUGUUUAGAUGUAGCAUCUGUUAGCAUGGACAGCUCAGGAGAGCAAGGAGCAUUGCCUGAGGUGAGCAUUUAGUUUUCUUUCCAGUUAAACAUAUCCAUGCCUACUUUGCUGCAGAGGAACAGUUUCCUCACGUCACUCACAUGGGCUUGACUUGUCCCAUACUUUUUUGGCAUCUGCAGUAAGGUUUACUGUAUUCCCUAAUUCCACUGCUCCAUAUAAAAGUUUCUCAGUGACAGCUCUUUUCUGAGAUAUUUUAACCACUAUCUGGCUUCCUCCUACCCUUUGCAAAGUAUUGUGCUCUAUUGCUAAUGUAGUCACCAUGCCUUUAAACAAAACCCCACCUAGCACUGAGGCUCUGUCUGAGCUUCCCGGCAGAGCCUGGGAAUGUGCCUUCCUUGGCUCACAGACACUUUCUACAGCAUCUCAUCCCCAGCAGUCACACGAGCAGUCCUGCUCCAUUUUGUCUGUGAGCUGACAGGACUUCGACCAUCAGAUCAUCACGUUUAGGAGGUGCUUUGGCAGUCAGCUGUCGGAUGCUCGUGGGAGUGUGUCUGCAGCCAGCACAUCUCCUCUUAGCUUGUAUGUAGCUUGCAGAGUUGAAGCUUGCAGCUCAAAAAAUCAUCUUGCUAUUGUAUUUUCUCCCCUCAGUACCGUUACAAACUGUGCCCUUUCCCAUGUGGUUUUUUUUCAUGCAGACAUUUUUCACAUGCUUUCUCAGAUCACCUCUGGAAACCUUCUUCACCUUCUUAUCUACUUUGCUCUGUAUCAGGUUUUCUGGGAACACCAUGGUUUGUGAAAUAGCUUAACGUGAAUAAUGAUCCCACUGGCUUUCAGGCUGCAUCCUUUUGUUGACAGUAUCUGGAGUAUCCAUUGCUCUGAUAACUAAUUCCUUGUUGCUCUUCUAACACUGCUCAGAUCACUGCACAAACAUUAGACCCAUUUGCUGCUGUAUGCCACUCUUUGUGGACCCUGAUCUUGGGCUUGACACAGUUUUAUGCUUUGGGUCCCUUUUCUGGCUAUUGCCUGGUAAAUUUGAACUGCAGAAAAAAAGAGUGAAAGUCAGUUCCAAGUCUCUGGGCAGUGUCCUGCUCUGAGCAUCUUGUCCUGGAAUUGAUCCCAUCCUGCUCUCUGAAAAAGUAAAUGGCUCCACUCUGCCAGCGUGCAUCUAGUUGGCCCAGUGGGAGCACAGGAGCCGAGUGUCAUCUUUGAAAGCCUGGCUAAGGAGCGGGUGAUGGAGCUUGCCACAUGAAGAGUGGUGCUGGCACAAAGUCAGGGGCUGUGCAAUACGGCGCCAGAGUGGGAAUGGACACCACAUUCGGGAAAACACCCAAAGUUGAUUUUGCUGCAUGUUUUACAUCAUGAACCCACAGCCUGUGCCAAGCUGAUCUGCACUCUCUCUUCUAAGGCAGCACUGGAUCAUGCUCUGGCUUGUCAGAACGGGCUUGCUUGCUGGCUCGGACGUGGCCAGAGGAGACGCUGGUGCAGAGAUGCACUCAUCAGCCAGCAGCUCCUCACCUGGGAAUGUCUCACGUGGACCUGCUGGGAGCCUGGCUCCCACCUGGCUCCUGCAGCUCAGUGUCACUGUGCACACCUUGACUAGGACAUCUAUAAGGAAAGCGAAGGAGAUGUGGCUGUUGCACAACCUCCCUGGCCAGCGUGGACACUGGACUGGAGACCUGGGGCCCUGGCCUCAUGUUUAACUACAGCGAAGCUGCACCUUGUGUGAAAAACAUGCAAAGCGCAACCUUGUUCCUAUCUUGUGACCUGAAGUGCCAGAUACAGCAGCCAUGGAGAAGUGGACCACUGAACACGACCUUGCCAGAAGCAUUAGGCUCAUCCCAGGAAGCCACCAACAGCCUGCAUAAUAUUGCAUAUAAAGUUUCGAAGGACUUGCGGGAAGGCAGGGGGAAGAGAAGGCUUUGGAGAUCCUUAGAGGACUAGUGGAGCUGUCAUGGAUGGGCCCACCUUCUAUCUCAUAACUAGGCUCCCAAGGUUGAAAGGGCAGGCCUUGGAUUCACGUGAUACUUGAGUAAAAGACACAACGAGCUUUAGCAAAGAAGGGUUGAACACAAGGCUGUGAUUUGCAGCUCCUGAGCUGCACUUGGGCUCAGCAGCGAUUCAGCUGCAGAAGCUCAGCUCAAGGGAUAAUGUCAGAAAAUUGUAACCUGAGAAAAGAUCCCUUGAACAACGCUGUCAGGCACUGUGGUGCUGGUCUUUGUUCAUCCCUCCUCACUGAUUUGUUUACACUGGAAUGGAAAGCAUCAGCUACAAGUUACAACAUAAAACCACCAAACCCUUGAAGAUUAUGUGAGAGCUACAGUUUGAUGAGCCAUUAAAUCAGCCAACGACAGGACACGGGGAGGACAAAGCCUGUCCUAAGUGACCACCGAUGGAGCCAGCCCUAUUCAUGGAUUAGAGCUGCCAUGGAAACUCCGUUUGCAGAGCUCACCACAGCAAACACAGAAUGAAUGGCCAGCAGCAACUCCAGCAACAGCGUCUCUCAAACUGCCCAAAGAGGACAGGGGAAACCAGCACAAGAAAAAUGUAUCUGUGAAGCAGAGCUGCCUGGGAGGUCUCCUAGCAGGAUCCUUCCUGAUGCUGGAGCAGGAAGAGAAGCUGCAUAAGUGAUGUGAUUGAGUUUCCCCUUCGUGGUGCUGGUAUCUGUUUCAGAGCCUCGGCAGUGACUGCUGUGAUGGGUCCUGCUCGUCCUGCUCGAGCAUUGAGGGAAGGCAACCAUGGAGGAGCAGCAGAGGCUCACCCCGCCUCAGGCUACUUCGUGAUGCACUGCUCCUCCCUGGAAGAAAAAAGCUACUCAACCUCCCAUGGAAGCUGCUCUCCAGGACCAGAGCCAGCUGCGCUAUACAAUGUCUCCUUCUAGUUCUUGUGUCUUCCUUCCUUGGAACUUUCAGCCACCACCAAUCACAGUAACUUCUGGCAAAGUCUCUAGUGCCACUUCCUCAGGGUGGAGGAGACUCGAGGCAAGACGAACCAGCUGGUGUUCGCUGGCUGUGUAUGACUGCAUUGUCCUCAUUUUAAAACUGGACCUUGUCUCAACCACAGGUGCUUCUAGCAGGUGCCUUGAAGAGCAUUGAGCCAUCCUCUUGGAGGAAAACCCAAGGUCUUCUCAAACACACUUUGUUUUACUGCACUGAACGCGAGGCUCAGCAGACAUGAUUGUUGGCAAUGUGCUGAAAGACAAAAGAAAAGGUGGCUAUGAAAAGCUGUAGCAUCUGGGAUCCUGUUUACAAACUGCAGGCAGCCUCCAGCGUCUGGCCUUAUGGGGAAAAAGGCAAUCCGAACAUUUUACACCCCAGCAGCCUCUCUGCAGCAAACAGGCAUGAGCCCACAAGGAUUUAAAUACAGAAGUUUCUGAUUUUCACCUGCCUCUAAUUCUUUAAGACUAAACUUUGCUCUACUCAUACAUGUGUGGUGCUGGUACUGUAGAGCUGCUCUUUUUUGGAGAACUAAACACAGCAGCACUCAGGAUGUGUCCUGGCCCUGUCCUCUAUUUGAUAAAGUACAAAAACAUCCUGCUGCCUACUCUGUUAAGGGCUUGUUUCUCUGUGAAAAUCCUUUCUCUUAAUCCUUGGUUUAUGACUGUCUGAGAAAAUAUUCUAAUGAGCACUGAAAUGCUGAAUGGGACUCUCCCUCGAGAGGGAUGCUGCCACCCUGAUGCUGCCGUCCCUGUGCCGUGCCCUUCUCACACCCUGACUGCUUCAUGUCAGGAAAUCCUGGCUGAAAGGGGGAGUCUAGUCCUCAGGAGAAGAACAAAACCUGAAUCAUGAAGUGCUCUUAAUCUCAUAGUAAAGUUAAUUUAUAUUUUCCUUUUGUCCCACUUAGCUCCUGAGUAUUCAAGUGACCUCUGCCUCUAAACAUUGAAGAUUUCCAUUUUCAUUCUAGCAUCCCCAUGUCAAAGACACAAUUGAGCUUUCAAGGGAAAUCUGAGAAACAGAAGCAAAAGAGAUAAUGGAGGCUUCUGAAGAGGUGGUGGUGACAGCCCAACCAGCUUCAGUGCAUUUGAGUCUUCCCUAUUGAGAAUUUUUCUCACCUUCACAUAAAGGGCCAGUAUCUGUUACAGCCACAUUUGUCGGCUCUACAGAUGCACCCUGUUGAUUAGGUGAACUUUGUGUACCUGAUCUUGGUGGUGUUCAGAAGCCCAGACACAGACAAGAUGUUAUUAUUAUUCAUGUCUCCCCUACUCAGGUGCUGUGUGUCUCUCCUGUAACUCAACCCCUAAAGAUUUAGCACUGAAGACCCCAUCCUGUGUGCAUCUACCACCAGCUAUAAAGCUGGUUAUUGUAAGCUUCUCCAUGGUUGCAAUGGGGUUGCCUACAGAGGCAAGCUCUGUGUGCUGGUUGGGCCCACUUUAAAACAAAAACGCAGUCAGUAGGAAUGGAGAAUAUGGUAAAUAUUUUGAAGGAUGCUGAGGCUUUUGAAAGGCUGAGACUAAUCAUGCUUUCUAGUUGAAGGUAUGGCUGCUUCUGUUGCAAAACAUUGAAAUAGGAUAAAUUCAGUUAUCAGACUGUCAUGGUACUUGAAUCAUAAUGCAUUGAUAUAUUCAGAAACAGUCUGGAGAAAUGGGCUGAGACUGAGAUGACAAUGUUCACUGAUGGGAUCAUCUUAGAGAAAGCAAACUUGACUGGCAAGGUGCAGAGGGAUCUCACAGUCCUGAGUGACUGGGUGACCAAGUGAUAGCUGAACUUUGUAACACUGACAAGUGAAAAGACAUGCACAGGAGGCUGUGUAAAUAACUCUAUAAAUAGCUAGUGCAGCAUAGCCAGCAGAUUGAAGAAAGUGAGGUUUCCCCUGUACUUAUUAGACCACACCUGGAACACUGUGUCCAGUUUUGGGCCCCCAGUAUAAGGAAGGCUUUGGUAACUGUGAAUCCAGUGGAGGGCCACCGGGAUGGUGGCAGCUGGAGCACUUGCCCUGCAAGGACAGGCUGGACAUCGGGGACUGUCUAGCCUGGAGAAGAGAUGGCUUUGGGAGCCUUCCAAUAUCUCAUGGCUUUGAGCAGGCCGUUGGGUUCAAUGACCUCCCAAAAUCCAACCUGAGCUCUUCUGUUAUUCUAUAAUCCUUAGGAAAGUUGGUUCCAGUAAGUAGUUUUAUCUAAACAUCAACUUCAUGGAUGGGAGCAAUCACAAGAAGUAAACAGAACAUUAGGAAUUAUUAGGAAGAGAGCAGAGAAAAAGCAGGAAUUAUCAACAUCAAAUAGUACAAAUACAAGGUGUGCCUGGAUCAUGAACAUCAUGUGCAAACCUGUCUCCCACUGAUCAAAAAGGAUAGAAUAGAACUAGAAAACGUAGGUGGAAGGGAAAGAAGGGUAAUUAAGAGCUUGAAAGAGACAGCAAUUCAGGUAGGACUAUUCUUUUUGGAAAGAAGGUAACAGAGGAGGUAUAAUAUAGUAAAUAAAAUCAUGAUUCUCAUGAGAACAUGGAGGGGAACCAGGUGGCAGGUUCAAAAUGGUCAAAGUGAACCAUAUCUGCAUUGCAGACAGGAUGUCUCAAGAAAGCAGCUGGCUUGUGACUGGAUAAGAGAAAAAGGCUGGAUUUUAUACAUGACAUGUUGUCAAGAUUUCCAUGCAAGUUUUUCAGAAAAUUAAGAAAAUCUAAAUAAAAAUGUAUUACAGCAACACUGCUAUUCAAAUGGAUCUGGACAAUGCAUGUAUUUAGCAGUUUACAGGUUUAUUAAAGAAUGGCUUCACCUUCA